GAGGGUAUAGCUCAGUGGCAGAGUGUGUGCUUAGCAUGCACAAGGUCCUGGGUUCAAUCCCCAAUACCUCCA
rnacentral:tRNA from 1 species